GGCUGCAGCUGCUCAGCGAGGACUGCAGCCUGGAAGAGAGGGAAGAGCUGAGCCACAGGCUGGCCCUGAUCACUGUGGACCCUACACAGGAAGAACAAGAGGAUACAGGACUUAGAAAGGAAUCUUGAGCUGAGACAGAUAUCCUUCAAUCACUCUCUUGCCACAGAAACAAGGAAGACCAAUGAAUCCAGAGAGCUGUCUGAUUACCUCCAGGCACAGAUCAAUCUGUUGACCAAAAAAAUCUAAGAAAGAGAGAGAGAAUUGGAGAUCCACAAAAUCUACUCACAUAGAUUUCCAAAAGGCUGGAACAGAAAAGGUACAAAGACAUUAUGAGCUACUUGAACUUUUAACAUGUUCAACCCAUGAUCCAGAUCAAACAUUUUUUUAAACUUGAUUAAUAUAUUUUGCCAUUAACAGGAGCAAGAGAAACUAAAUCUGUUCAAACAGAUGACAUAUCCUCUCUCCCCAUCGAGGCUCCGUGCCAAUUUGAACUAGUCUAUGCCUGUUCACUCCAGCAUCCGAAGUUGGAGAAGCAGAAGAGUUUGAGCUGGGUAUGUAAAUGAGUUUCCUUCUCGCUCACAUUCUGUGCAGAAUGCUGUUUAAAUGGGUAACGGUAAAUAAAACAUUUAUUCAAUAUUGACAGAUAAAAGCAAAUAUUAACUCCUUGAUAAAAGUUUGUGUAUUGAGUUCCAGUGUAAAGUUGAUAUCUUUUUUUUUUUUUCAGGAGUCCUUUGCAAUUGGCUUCCCAGACAGAAGUGACACAGCAGACCUGUUAGUGGAUGACAGAGGAUCAUACGAUAAUGAACAUUUUGCUGACGAUGGAGAGCUGCAUGGUGAUUAUGACAAGGAGGAUCCACAACUUUAGGGUGAGGAGUAUUGCCUUGCAGAGGAGGCAGCGAGUUCCCUCAAGGCUUCAGAAGGAGUGCAAACAGAGCCAUUUGAAAGCCAGGUCCGGUACACUCUGGAUGACUUUCAGAAUACAGAACGUGCCAACAUGGCCCUCAAAUCCCCUCCCAGGACCAAGCACCUCUACACAUUCAAAGAAACCAUCCAGAACCUACACAGUGGGAAGCCUGCCUAUGCCAGCCAUAGCCAAAGCCUGAGAAAAAGCCCUCCUAAAUACAUCAAGAGCCAGGCCAGGGUGGAGAACCUGGGGUCUAGGGCGUAUGAGCCCUCCUUCACUCUACCAGCAGAGAAGUGCCAAAGGCGUGACACCAUGGACCCUCAACCCGGAAGAUGGCGUAGUCCGCAGCAAGAAGAGUAUCUUGAUGAAAGAGCUUUUUGGCCAGGCCCUAAUCACUGAUCCAAAUGGCCAUGCAGACAGGCAGAUCCAGAGUUCAAAGCACAGACCUGGACAGAACGUCCUCUUACCAUACAGGAGACGCUAGCCCGGUCUCACCUGGGAGACCAAGAUCAUUUUUUAUUGACCCAAGAAGUAUACAAAAUUAUAAUAUAUUUGUAUUAUUUGAUAAAUUAUUAUUUAUCUGCCAUGGCAACUCAAC
ensembl:lncRNA